rnacentral:rRNA from 1 species
AUUGAACGCUGGCGGAAUGCUUUACACAUGCAAGUCGAACGGCAGCACGGACUUCGGUCUGGUGGCGAGUGGCGAACGGGUGAGUAACAUAUCGGAACGUAUCCAAUAAUGGGGGAUAACGAGUCGAAAGAUUCGCUAAUACCGCAUACGCCCUACGGGGGAAAGCUGGGGACCUUCGGGCCUGGCGUUAAUGGAGCGGCCGAUAUCUGAUUAGCUAGUUGGUGAGGUAAAGGCUCACAAAGGCGGCGAUCAGUAGCUGGUCUGAGAGGACGACCAGCCACACUGGAACUGAGACACGGUCCAGAAUCCUACGGGAGGCAGCAGUGGGGAAUUUUGGACAAUGGGCGCAAGCCUGAUCCAGCCAUUCCGCGUGAGUGAAGAAGGCCUUCGGGUUGUAAAGCUCUUUCGCAAGGGAAGAAAACUUAGCCACUAACAUUGGUUGAGGUUGACGGUACCUUGAUAAGAAGCACCGGCUAACUACGUGCCAGCCGCCGCAGUAA